UUUAGGAGCCAAUGAUGUUUCCAUUCAAAAUGUCUGAACCUGUCUGAAGCAUCCCAGUGAUGCAAACUCUGUGUGGUGCUGAGGCUCCUGUGCCA
ensembl:snoRNA